rnacentral:rRNA from 1 species
GAGCAGUCUGCGUACUAUUAGCUUGUUGGUGGGGUAAAGGCCUACCAAGGCUUAGAUGGUUAGCGGGCGUGAGAGCGUGGCCCGUCUCACUGGGACUGAGACACUGCCCAGACACCUACGGGUGGCUGCAGUCGAGAAUCUUCCGCAAUGGGCGAAAGCCUGACGGAGCAAUGCCGCGUGGUGGAUGAAGGCCCUCGGGUUGUAAACACCUGUCAGUAGGGAGGAAAUUUUGACCGAUCUACAGAGGAAGUCCGGGCUAAGUUCGUGCCAGCAGCCCGCGGUAAGACGAACCGGACGAACGUUAUUCGGAAUCACUGGGCUUAAAAGAGUGCCGUAGGCGGCUUGGUAGGUUGGGUGNUGAAAUCCCCACAGCUCAACUGGUGGAACUGCGCUCAAAACCCCCAAGCUUGAGGAAGGCAGAGGUGAGCGGAACUGAUGGUGGAGCGGUGAAAUGCGUUGAUAUCAUCAGAACACCGGUGGCGAAGGCGGCUCACUGGGUCUCUUCUGACGCUCAGCACGAAAGCUAGGGUAGCGAACGGGAUUAGAUACCCCGGUAGUCCUAGCUGUAAACGUUGAGCACUGGAUCGAGGGGGCUUCCACACCCUCUCGGUCGUAGCGAAAGU